CUAUACAUGCAGUCGAGCGAACGGACGAGAAGCUUGCUUCUCUGAUGUUAGCGGCGGACGGGUGAGUAACACGUGGAUAACCUACCUAUAAGACUGGGAUAACUUCGGGAAACCGGAGCUAAUACCGGAUAAUAUUUUGAACCGCAUGGUUCAAAAGUGAAAGACGGUCUUGCUGUCACUUAUAGAUGGAUCCGCGCUGCAUUAGCUAGUUGGUAAGGUAACGGCUUACCAAGGCAACGAUGCAUAGCCGACCUGAGAGGGUGAUCGGCCACACUGGAACUGAGACACGGUCCAGACUCCUACGGGAGGCAGCAGUAGGGAAUCUUCCGCAAUGGGCGAAAGCCUGACGGAGCAACGCCGCGUGAGUGAUGAAGGUCUUCGGAUCGUAAAACUCUGUUAUUAGGGAAGAACAUAUGUGUAAGUAACUGUGCACAUCUUGACGGUACCUAAUCAGAAAGCCACGGCUAACUACGUGCCAGCAGCCGCGGUAAUACGUAGGUGGCAAGCGUUAUCCGGAAUUAUUGGGCGUAAAGCGCGCGUAGGCGGUUUUUUAAGUCUGAUGUGAAAGCCCACGGCUCAACCGUGGAGGGUCAUUGGAAACUGGAAAACUUGAGUGCAGAAGAGGAAAGUGGAAUUCCAUGUGUAGCGGUGAAAUGCGCAGAGAUAUGGAGGAACACCAGUGGCGAAGGCGACUUUCUGGUCUGUAACUGACGCUGAUGUGCGAAAGCGUGGGGAUCAAACAGGAUUAGAUACCCUGGUAGUCCACGCCGUAAACGAUGAGUGCUAAGUGUUAGGGGGUUUCCGCCCCUUAGUGCUGCAGCUAACGCAUUAAGCACUCCGCCUGGGGAGUACGACCGCAAGGUUGAAACUCAAAGGAAUUGACGGGGACCCGCACAAGCGGUGGAGCAUGUGGUUUAAUUCGAAGCAACGCGAAGAACCUUACCAAAUCUUGACAUCCUUUGACAACUCUAGAGAUAGAGCUUUCCCCUUCGGGGGACAAAGUGACAGGUGGUGCAUGGUUGUCGUCAGCUCGUGUCGUGAGAUGUUGGGUUAAGUCCCGCAACGAGCGCAACCCUUAAGCUUAGUUGCCAUCAUUAAGUUGGGCACUCUAAGUUGACUGCCGGUGACAAACCGGAGGAAGGUGGGGAUGACGUCAAAUCAUCAUGCCCCUUAUGAUUUGGGCUACACACGUGCUACAAUGGACAAUACAAAGGGCAGCGAAACCGCGAGGUCAAGCAAAUCCCAUAAAGUUGUUCUCAGUUCGGAUUGUAGUCUGCAACUCGACUACAUGAAGCUGGAAUCGCUAGUAAUCGUAGAUCAGCAUGCUACGGUGAAUACGUUCCCGGGUCUUGUACACACCGCCCGUCACACCACGAGAGUUUGUAACACCCGAAUGACGCAGGUGGAUGUCAACCUUCUAGGAGCUAGCCGUACGA
rnacentral:rRNA from 1 species